rnacentral:lncRNA from 1 species
AGUGGAAUGGAAUGGAGUGGAGUGAAAUGGAAUGGAAUGCAAUGGGAUGGAGUGGAAUGGAAUGAAGUGGAGUGGAGUGAAGUGGAGUGGAAUGGAGUGGAGAGGAAUGGAGUGGAAUGGAAUGGGAUGGAGUGGAAUGGAGUGGAAUGGACUGGAUUGGAGUGAUGUGGAAUGGAGUGGAAUGGAGUGGAGAGGAGUGGACUAGAGUGGAGUGUAGUGGAAUGGAAUGGAAUUUAAUGGAAUUUAAUGGAAUUGUG